rnacentral:rRNA from 1 species
UACGAAGGGGGCUAGCGUUGUUCGGAAUUACUGGGCGUAAAGCGCACGUAGGCGGGUUGUUAAGUCAGGGGUGAAAUCCUGGAGCUCAACUCCAGAACUGCCUUUGAUACUGGCAACCUAGAGACUGGAAGAGGUUAGUGGAAUUCCCAGUGUAGAGGUGAAAUUCGUAGAUAUUGGGAAGAACACCAGUGGCGAAGGCGGCUAACUGGACCGGUUCUGACGCUGAGGCGCGAAAGCGUGGGUAGCAAACAGG